rnacentral:rRNA from 1 species
UCCUUAAGUGGGGGAUAACGCAUCGAAAGAUGUGCUAAUACCGCAUAUCUCUCAGGAGGAAAGCAGGGGAUCGAAAGCCUUGCGCUAAAGGAGCGGCUGAUGUCUGAUUAGCUAGUUGGUGGGGUAAAGGCUUACCAAGGCAACGAUCAGUAGCUGGUCUGAGAGGACGACCAGCCACACUGGGACUGAGACACGGCCCAGACUCCUACGGGAGGCAGCAGUGGGGAAUUUUGGACAAUGGGCGAAAGCCUGAUCCAGCCAUGCCGCGUGAGUGAAGAAGGCCUUCGGGUUGCAAAGCUCUUUUAGUCGGAAAGAAAGAAUCAUAGUAAAUAGCUAUGAUUUAUGACGGUACCGACAGAAAAAGCACCGGCUAACUACGUGCCAACANCCGCGGUAAUACGUAAGGUGCGAUCGU